rnacentral:rRNA from 1 species
ACGGAAGAUCCGAGCGUUAUCCGGAAUUACUGGGCGUAAAGAGUUGCGUAGGUGGCAUAGUAAGCGAGCAGUGAAAGGUCCCGGCUCAACCGGGGAUACAUUGUUCGAACUACCAAGCUUGAGCAUGAGAGAGGUAGAUGGAAUUUCUAGUGUAGGAGUGAAAUCCGUAGAUAUUAGAAGGAACACCGAUGGCGUAGGCAGUCUACUGGCUCAUUGCUGACACUAAGGCACGAAAGCGUGGGGAGCGAACGGGA